ACAUCGGAAUUUAAUUCUGUCGUGGGGGAUAACGUAGGGAAACUUACGCUAAUACCGCAUACGACCUACGGGUGAAAGCAGGGGACCUUCGGGCCUUGCGCGAUUGAAUGAGCCGAUGUCGGAUUAGCUAGUUGGCGGGGUAAAGGCCCACCAAGGCGACGAUCCGUAGCUGGUCUGAGAGGAUGAUCAGCCACACUGGAACUGAGACACGGUCCAGACUCCUACGGGAGGCAGCAGUGGGGAAUAUUGGACAAUGGGCGCAAGCCUGAUCCAGCCAUACCGCGUGGGUGAAGAAGGCCUUCGGGUUGUAAAGCACUUUUGUCCGGAAAGAAAUCGCGCUGGUUAAUACCUGGCGUGGAUGACGGUACCGGNAGAAUAAG
rnacentral:rRNA from 1 species